UAAUACAUGUAUGUAUAUACACGUGACAUUUCUUUAUUCGUGUUUUACGCGUAGACAUAUAUAUAUUAAAAAAACUAUAGACAGCCGAUUGUAUGGCGUGAAAACCAAUGAAAUAGACCCGACAGACACAAUUUCAAAUCAUAUCGCACGUUUCAAUAAAAUCGCAAUCAAUAAAACUUAUCCCCUUGGCACGUGUCAGCCGCGGUUGUAGACGGAAUGGUUACACAACCGAUGGUCCUCGGACGAAACGGUUCCUUUCGGUAUGCAACAUUUACUCGCCCGGUGGAACAUCGGGCUACCUAAUUACGAUUAUGAUCUGGCAAUUGGUAAUGAUUGACGGUAGUUAAAACUAGAUCGCGCAGCGACGCGAUCUAGGGAGGGAGUUUUCCGUGUAUUUUUAAUAGGAACUUUUGCGGCUGCUUUUUGAUAUGUAACCGUUCCUAAGACCUUUCUUGUAGACCUUUUCUCUUUCUGUGUUGGUUAUGCGGUCGCUUAGGGUGACAAUUAAAUAUUUUGGUUUUUUUUUUUUUUUUUUUUUCAUAACUGCGGUUAUAUUCAAAUCUCUAAAAUUCUCAAAAAAAUUAC